GAUGAAUAACGUAGUGAAAUGCGAUAAGUAGUGUGAAUUGCAGAAUUCAGUGAAUCAUCGAAUCUUUGAACGCACAUUGCGCCCCUUGGUAUUCCAUGGGGCAUGCCUGUUCGAGCGUCAUUUGUACCUUCAAGCUCUGCUUGGUGUUGGGUGUUUGUCUCGCCUCUGCGCGUAGACUCGCCUCAAAACAAUUGGCAGCCGGCGUAUUGAUUUCGGAGCGCAGUACAUCUCGCGCUUUGCACUCAUAACGACGACGUCCAAAAGUACAUUUUUACACUCUUGACCUCCGAUCAGGUAGGGAUACCCGCUGAACUUAAGCAUAUCAAUAAGCGGAGGA
rnacentral:misc_RNA from 1 species